AUGCAGCAAGUCAAUUUAAUGGGCAUUACGAUCAAAUCCCUGGCAGAGAUCGAGGAGGCAUUUUACUACAACUUCAGCACGGAGAGAAGCGUUGCUGUGUAACUGUCACCCUGGCAGACCGAGACACUACACAUACAAGAUGGAAUAAA